rnacentral:tRNA from 1 species
GGGCAUUUAGCUCAGCUGGUCUAGAGCGUUCGCUUCACACGCGAGAGGUCACAGGUUCGAACCCUGUAAUGCCCA